ACACCUUCACCAAUUUACAAGCAAUUGAAUAAAUGACCAACUAGUAACUAAAAGGUAAUGAAAUGGACAAGAAAAUGUAAAGGAGACUGCCUAAAUUAAAUGUGAAGGGCCAUCAUCAGGGAUCUGCAUCACCCGCAACAUUGUCAUCACUUGAUAUUCUUUCUGCAUCACUAACAUCCUCUUCGCUGAUGUCUUCGUUGCUAUCUUCUGAGAGAGCAUUGGUGAUGUUUUCCUUUUUUGCAUAACGUUCACAGUACUCUGUCAACAUAAACAUGCAUCGACUAAGAAGUCAAAAACACCUACCUAGUAAGGUUAGUUAUAAUUAUAUGAAUUAAUAAUUUCCCGGAACUCCAAUUCCAAUGAUAUUAGUCAUAUAAUUGAGAAGACCAUAUGUUAAAGUUGCCAGCAUAUUGAACUGAAAAUCAGCAAUUUAAUAAGACAGCCAACUAAAGAUUUCAAGACCUUCUGAGAAUGCUCGACAGAAAGAAGGCUCAAUGUGCCAUUAAUAAAGUAAAAUGAAAAUAAAAUGAGGCAAAAAAGUUCUCACCUUUCACUUUCUCUUCAUACUGUUUCUUAUCUUUCAUCAUUAGGGAUGCUGCAUCACCGUUAAGUGGGUCUGAAGGGUUUGGAUAAAGCAGCAGCUGUGGAAGGAAAACCUCAAACACAUUUAAAAGAUCUGCAGCCAGAGAAAGCCUUGGUAAGAUAAUUUAUGAAUCAAACAUCCAGCGAGACAAGGUAAAAUGGAGAAUGAAAUGCAUGAAUAAAAUCAAAAUUAAUAUCAUAACACUUUAAUUCUUAGUGCAAGGUUUGGGAGUAAAGAUCUGGACUAGAACUGACCAGUACUAACUUAAUUGAUUUAUGACAGGGAGAAACUUUAUCAUACUGUAUUUAUUGUUCCAAAUUAUCCUUUUUCCUUCUUAUUUUCAGAAAGGAACACAGGAGGAAGCAAUUCAGGACAGAUGGCAGACAAUCCUGUUAUUGUUGUUCUUUUGCCAUCAAUAAUUCCCUAAAUUGACUCCCUUGAGAAAACAUACGCUUGCCAAACAACAUGAGACCUGUCAUGUUUCCAUCCACAUUUAUCAAGAAUUGCAGCAUUACGUAAGGUUCCUCUCCCUCACAAGCACUUCACAUUUUUUCAGCAAAAAACAGACAAAGAAGGCUUAUGUCAGGAUGAUGCAUUAAGAUAGCCAAUAAAUUGUGGAUCUUAAUUAAAAAGACCAUAGUUUAAGCUAGACAUGCACGCAAUAAACUGAAGCAGAAACACAACAGGAGUGAAAUUCUGGACUCCAAGCUGUAUGAUGGAUAUUGUGUCUCAGUAUAUAUGAAUCAGUAUGGAUUUGCUUGCUGCAGAUAUUUGAGGUCUAAUUAUCCCAGGAGACACACCCGUGUUCUGAAAAGAAAAAAGAAAAAGAGAAAAAAAAAACUAUGCAUGAUUAGUGGUUUCAGUAUUUGAUUCUGAAAAUAGAUUCUGAAAAUGAUACACAACUAUCUCAGA
rnacentral:misc_RNA from 1 species